rnacentral:sRNA from 1 species
UUUUUUUUUGGUUUUG